AUUGAACGCUGGCGGCAUGCCUUACACAUGCAAGUCGAACGGCAGCACGGGUUCUUGCACCUGGUGGCGAGUGGCGAACGGGUGAGUGAUACAUCGGAACAUGUCCUGUAGUGGGGGAUAGCCCGGCGAAAGCCGGAUUAAUACCGCAUACGAUCUACGGAUGAAAGCGGGGGACCUUCGGGCCUCGCGCUAUAGGGUUGGCCGAUGGCUGAUUAGCUAGUUGGUGGGGUAAAGGCCUACCAAGGCGACGAUCAGUAGCUGGUCUGAGAGGACGACCAGCCACACUGGGACUGAGACACGGCCCAGACUCCUACGGGAGGCAGCAGUGGGGAAUUUUGGACAAUGGGCGAAAGCCUGAUCCAGCAAUGCCGCGUGUGUGAAGAAGGCCUUCGGGUUGUAAAGCACUUUUGUCCGGAAAGAAAUCCUUGGCCCUAAUACGGUCGGGGGAUGACGGUACCGGAAGAAUAAGCACCGGCUAACUACGUG
rnacentral:rRNA from 1 species